rnacentral:lncRNA from 1 species
AUGUGUGGGUGCCAUCUAGACCCUAUUUGUUCCAUGUAAAAGGCAACUCCAGUACCUUCAUUUAUAAGUUUAGAUCCCUCAAAAAUUCCUAGAAGUUUCAGCCAUCUAAACUGUAUCUAAAUAGCUUUUUCUUUCUGAUUUUCAGAUCUAUGUUUGAAAUUCAAACAUACAAAAUCCAAAAACAUUAAAAAAACAGAAAAAAUAAAAAAACAAUCUACUAUUUCACUACUUAGUUUCAAUUCCUACUUGGAUCUCUCUAAUUUCGAGUUCAUAAAGCAUUUAGAAGUAUUUGGUAACUGGUUCGAGUGAAUUUGGACUUGAUUGUGUUGGUUUUGGUUAAAUUUUGCUUUACUGAAGUGGCAGAGCUGUGCUGAAUUCGUUUUUGAGUUUUUUUUGUUGCAUUCAAGUAGUCUACGGUUAAGAUUCUGGUUUUCUGCUUGGUUUUCGAACUUCUCCUGGAUUUUUAGCUCACAUUCUGGGUUUCUAGUUGAUCCUUGCUUACAGUUGCUCUGAUGCUGAUCUCUUUCCUCUGUUACAUUCCCUUUCCAGGUACAUAUUCACUACCUACACUGGAUUUUGUAGUGUGUAAAUCUUUUGGGAAAAUCAAUGAAGAAGAAAUACAAUUUUUUUAACUAGAUUUUGUUGAAUUAACUUUUUAUAGUUAAUUGUAUUUCGAAUAUUGUUUGGACUGUUGAGUUUGUAUGAAGGGACUGAAACUGGACUGCGUAACUUGGACUGCAGUAGCUUGAUGUGAAAUGUUAAUUAUAUUUUGGUAGUAGAAUGCUAAAUAGCUUAGGAAUUUCAUAUUUGAUAAUUAGCUGGAUGGUUAAUGGUGAAAUGGUAGUAUUUGUAGUCAAUUGGAUCCAUGGAUUCUAUGUAAACUUGUCCGCCUAACUAACAACUCGGCUGAAAAUCAAUCAUUGGAUCACCUUUAAUUGCAGUAGCUCAUUUCUAAAUACAUAUGUUGUUUUAAGUGUUAAACUAGUUGAUAGGUGAAACCAAUUUAAAGGU